rnacentral:rRNA from 1 species
GAUGAACGCUAGCGGCAGGCCUAAUACAUGCAAGUCGAACGGUAAAUAUUUAGCAAUAGAUAUGAGAGUGACGUACGGGUGCGUAACACGUAUGCAACCUACCCUUUACAGGCGGAUAGCUCGGGGAAACUCGAAUUAACCCGCCGUAAUAUAAUUGAAUGGCAUCAUUUGAUUAUUAAAUCUACGGAGGUAAAGGAUGGGCAUGCGUCUGAUUAGUUAGUUGGCGGGGUAACGGCCCACCAAGACGAUGAUCAGUAGGGGAACUGAGAGGUUGAUCCCCCCAACUGGCACUGAGAUACGGGCCAGACUCCUACGGGAGGCAGC